GUGUCAGCCGCCGCGGUAAGACAGAGGGUGCAAACGUUGUUCGGAAUUACUGGGCGUAAAGCGCGUGUAGGCGGCUCGGCAAGUCGGGUGUGAAAGCCCUGGGCUCAACCCAGGAAGUGCACUCGAAACUGCCGGGCUUGAGUCCCGGAGAGGAAGGCGGAAUUCUCGGUGUAGAGGUGAAAUUCGUAGAUAUCGAGAGGAACACCGGUGGCGAAGGCGGCCUUCUGGACGGUGACUGACGCUGAGACGCGAAAGCGUGGGGAGCAAACAGGAUUAGAAACCCUAGUAGUCC
rnacentral:rRNA from 1 species